rnacentral:rRNA from 1 species
CACGUAGGGCGCAAGCGUUGUCCGGAAUUAUUGGGCGUAAAGAGCUCGUAGGCGGUCUGUUGCGUCCGCUGUGAAAACUCGGGGCUUAACCCCGAGCCUGCAGUGGAUACGGGCAGACUAGAGGUAGGUAGGGGAGAAUGGAAUUCCCGGUGUAGCGGUGAAAUGCGCAGAUAUCGGGAGGAACGACCAGUGGCGAAGGCGGCUCACUGGACCGGUUCUGACGCUGAGGCGCGAAAGCGUGGGGAGCAAACGGG